UGAAUACGAGACGCUAAGGCGUCGAAGUAGUGUAUGUCAUACUUCCAAGAAAAGCUUGCACUGUCAUAGAUAAAAAACGCCUGUACCAUAACCGACACAGGUGGGUAGGUAGAGUAUACUAAGGGGCGCGAGAUAACUCUCUCUAAGGAACUCGGCAAAAUAACUCCGUAACUUCGGGAGAAGGAGUGCCUUAUUCUUAAGGUUGCAAUAACAAGAUCCAAGCAACUGUUUAUCAAAAACACAGGUCUCCGCUAAGUCGUAAGACGAUGUAUGGGGGCUGACGCCUGCCCAGUGCCAGAAGGUUAAAGAAGCUGGUUAGCAUUUGCGAAGCUAGUAACUGAAGCCCUGGUGAACGGCGGCCGUAACCAUAACGGUCCUAAGGUAGCGAAAUUCCUUGUCGGGUAAGUUCCGACCCGCACGAAAGGCGUAAUGAUUUGGAUACUGUCUCGGAGAGGGGCUCGGUGAAAUAGACUUGUCUGUGAAGAUGCGGACUACCUGCACCAGGACAGAAAGACCCUAUGAAGCUUUACUGUAACUUGAAAUUGAAAUUGGACUUUAUUCGCGCAGUAUAGGUGGGAGGCGUUGAUUAUAAUCUUGCGGGAUUAUUGGAGCCAUUAGUGAGAUACCACUCUUGUAAUGUUAGAUUUCUAACUUUGAAUCAUUAUCUGGUCAAAGAACAGUUUCAGGCGGGCAGUUUGACUGGGGCGGUCGCCUCCCAAACAGUAACGGAGGCGUACAAAGGUUUCCUCUGAACGGUUAGGAAUCGUAUCUAGAGUGUAAAGGCAUAAGGAAGCUUGACUGUGAGACCUACAAGUCGAGCAGGGACGAAAGUCGGUCUUAGUGAUCUGACGGUACUGAGUGGAAAGGCCGUCACUCAACGGAUAAAAGUUACUCUAGGAUAACAGGCUGAUCUCCCCCAAGAGUUCACAUCGACGGGGAGGUUUGGCACCUCGAUGUCGGCUCAUCGCAUCCUGGGGCGGUAGUACGUCCCAAGGGUUGGGCUGUUCGCCCAUGAAAGCGGUACACGAGCUGGGUUCAGAACGUCGUGAGACAGUUCGGUCCAUAUCCGGUGUAGGCGUUAGAAUAUUGAGAGGAGCCUUCUUUAGUACGAGAGGACCGAGAAGGACAUACCUCUGGUGUACCAGUUAUCGUGCCAACGGUAGACGCUGGGUAGCUAUGUAUGGAGUGGAUAACCGCUGAAAGCAUCUAAGUGGGAAGCCCACCUCAAGAUAAGUAUUCUCAC
rnacentral:rRNA from 1 species